UAUUUGUGCUUUCUGAUGCUGUUAAGGGGUCACCUUCCUGUCCUGUGGCACAGUUUUGAUAAGUGUAAUACUACCCUACAGAUCAUACUGCUUCUGAGGGACUGCCACUGGGUGCUACCUCAGCCUGCAGCCUCUCCCACACAACACAGUUGCCGCCAUUUUGUGAGAAGAAUGAGGAACGUUCCUUUGAGGAAAGGCCUCACUCCAGGAGAAUUUCUGGUUUUCUUUCUAAAGAAAGCCUGACAGAGAUGCUUAGAAAGUGCUUUCACCUAUGCCAUCUGUGAUGUUUUUAUUUCCUGAUGACCUUUUCAACAGUUUGUUGUUCUCAUUCUUCUGUCCAUGCGAGAAAGAUGGAAUUCUCCAAGGAAAGCUACUUGAACAUAUGGCAAGGUUUCCAACACAGACUGGAUGGGCUGCUUUGUGCUGCCUGAAUUCUGUCAUGGCUCAGAGUUUUCAUAUGUGGAUGAGGGUACACAAGGUAACCAUGAUAUAAUUUACACAUUCUCUCUAGCCAUCUAAAUGGCUCCAUAGCAUUAUUUAUACGAAGUGGAGACCUGUGACUUCAUUGGAAAACAAGCAUACGGAUAACAAGACAUCCUUCUUUGUACGUGGGACAGAGGGAUGGCUGACCCAGUAAUUAAACGAAUAAAUUCUGAGGAUUAAUAUAUUGAGGAAAUCUGAUUUCUUGGAAUAAUUCAGGAAGCUCAUAUGCCUAUGGACUCCAAAAGUUUUGGAAUCUGUUCCUUCAGCCAAAGGCUGUGAAAACGUUCCCAGGCAAUGUAGAAAUUUUUGCAUGGAAAGAUUUCUGAGGUGUCUCAUCAUCCAUUAAAAACAAAUGAAACAGGAAUAUUCAUAGAGGCUAUUUUAUAAAUAAAAAGCCUCCAGUUCAUCAGAAAUCCAUGGGAUCCACCUCACACAGGCAUGCCAUUUUACCUUUAUGAGAAACAUCCUUUCUCCACAGAUAUUAAUCAUACUGACUUACAUUUUUGGUGUGUUAAAUUCAGCCCAUAACAUCACCAAUAAAUUUAGUCCUUAGAGGUUAUAUUAACAGACUACUGGCCUUAUCAUUCUGAUUACAAUGUUCUAGCUAGAGCUAGUUUGAACAUUUUCCCUUUAUAUGUUUUCAGUCGAAAAUGGGACUUUGGCAAAAUAAAAUUAAAAAAUAUGCAUGAAAAAGUCCAUUUUGUCAAAAUGUGAUCCAUCAGGGAAGCCGAAUGAAUUUCAAAAGCAAUAAGCUAGCUAGGUAUUUAAAGGGUUUUUUAUUAUUUAAACCUUCAGGGAUAUACAUUUUUGCACCAUUCAUUGAACUGUGGGUGCAAUUUAUUUAAUAGGCACACAUUUUACCAGGGAACUUAUGCCACCAGAAAAGGAUUUCAAGCCUCAGCCAAGUGGAAAAUAUAUCCCAAGGUGUGUGUGUUGCCUAGUAAAACUAGGAGAUUUAAAUAGUGAAGAUACAAGCUGACUGUGAAAGCACCUUCCACUAAUAUAAAACUAUGCAGUUCUAAAAUGAUGCUGACAACCCCCACAAACCUUUAAAUAGCCAUUUCCAAGCUGGCAGGUCUAAAUUGCAGGAAAACAAAGUAAUCACUCAAGGAAUUCUUUGCAAAUUAAAACAGUUCCUUCUUGUUACUUUGUGUUCUGGAGCUUCACAGACAAUAAUACAGUCUCACAAGCCAUUUUCCUAUUUGUUUUUGUAUCAAAUUAUCUUUCUCUAAAAGUAAGCACUCUGUCAAUAAUAAAAAGAAAUUGUUGGUAGAUAAUUCUAAAAACAAACAAGAAAUUCACAUUUUAAAAAGCUAGUUUAAGAAACACACUGUGCUAGUGUGUAUCUUAUUUAUAUGUAAAAUGAGAUGUUACUUGUUUAUAUUUCACUUCUGGCUCUGCUGUCAGUCUGAAUGGCACCUUCACUGGGAUGAAUUUGUGCAAAAGGCUAGUUCAAGGUUAGUGCACCACAUGAGAUAUGGAGUAUGCUUAGAAAGGGCCCAGGGUUUGUGCUGCCUCUCCACAAAGGAUGACAUAUGGAGAGCCUCUUCAAAGUGGAAGGAGAUUCCCUGGAGUGAAAGUACCCCUGCAGAAGCUUAUUCAACCUGGCAUUUAUGACAAUUUUACAAAUAGAACUAAACUGAUAUGGAUCUGCAAGAAAAUAAAUGCUUUUAAACAUUGUAAUUCAUGAUAUGAAUUAGAAGUUUGUAGAACUGCAUAUGCUACAUGAAAUUAGAUUGCAGAGUGUGUACAAAAUACAAGUGUGAAAAACCCAAGAGCUCUUCAGAUGUUCAUCUGGCAAAGAGGCUGAGCGCUGGCAUGAAAGUGCACUGUGGCAAAUGGAUGUGCCUGAAAGUAGAAGCUCUCCCUUUAUGAAGUAUCAGUGCUCUUGGACAUCACCAGUGACAUUUCCUUGGCGAAGUCGUUCAUUAUAUUGAUAGUCCUAAGGCUGGAGUGUUACAGCUACACCCAUACAGCUAUAAACCUGCUGGUGUCUUUAUUCAGGGUGGGAUGUCAUUCCUGAUAUGAAGGAAUGAAAACAUUACUCAAGUAUUAGACAAAUAUUUGAGAAUACGUACAUACUUUUUGUAACAUUUCUGCGAAGAACAGACAUUGUUCAGUGUACUGGCACUUUGCUACUGAGGUAAAAGAGGAAAUAUCUCUUCGGGGAGAGAAAAAAUGGAGCUGUGAGGUGCUGAUAGCAGAGCCUACCUGAGUGGAUAUAAGUCACUGAAAAUAAACCUAGCAGUGUGGUCUGUCUCACUGUUGUAUGGCAGGACUGAUUCUAUCUGUAGUCAUGUUACUUUUCAGAGGUCCCAGAAAAUUCUUUUUGAUACUACCAGGGCCAGCAUCCACUUGUACCUGCGGCAAAAAAGAAAAAAAAAAUCCAGAAAAGAAUCUGUUUCCACUUCUAUUCUGGAGCUGCUCACCAGUUCCAAGACUAUAGCACACCAGAUUAUCAGAUGGCUUUGUCCUCAACAUUUCAUUUUAAAGGGAAGUGACUCUCUGUGAAUAACCAUUUGGGUCUCUGGUUGCGCAUAUCAGUGCAGUCGUCAUUAGAAUGACAAAGCUAACAAAAAGCGUAUCUGCACAAAUAUUUUCUUGGGUUCCAUUAAAGAAUCAUUGUAAAGAAUCAUUGAAGAACCUGUGUAAAUCCUGAGAUUUCUGUAGUCAUAACAAUAUUAGUGAAAGCUGAAUCCUGUUAACAGUGAUAAUUUUCAA